GCUUCCCCGGUGCACAGCUUGCGAUUUGCUUGGACCUCUGCCUCAUCUUUCUUCUUUUGCGCUUCAGCCUGCGCUUUCGCUUCUUCCUCCACUUGGCUCUCAUGGCACAGCGAUUGGAAGAACACACUUCUGAACU